CGAAGGGGUGGGGAUAUGCAAAUAAGAGCCGUGGCCGCGCCAGGGAGAGGCGAGCAAGAGCCACGCUGCGAUCGCGGUGUUAGGGAGCGUCGCGCAAGAGGCGCUGGAGAAAACACACCAAAGAGCAGAAGAUCCCCCAGAGCCCGGCCUCGAUGGGUGAUGUACCCAUGAAGACCCACCACCCCAAUACCGCUGAUGGAGAGAGGACACUGAACGGGGGGAAAAAACUUUAUUUGUGGCCAGCUUCUGCUGGGAGUGAGCAGGAACGGUGAAUCAAUUUUUCAUUAGUGCUUAA